AACGGAAAGGCCUGCAGCUUGCUGCGGGUACUCGAGUGGCGAACGGGUGAGUAACACGUGGGUGAUCUGCCUUGCACUUCGGGAUAAGCUUGGGAAACUGGGUCUAAUACCGGAUAGGACAGCUGUUUAGUGUCAGUUGUGGAAAGUUUUUUCGGUGCAAGAUGAGCUCGCGGCCUAUCAGCUUGUUGGUGGGUAAUGGCCUACCAAGGCGUCGACGGGUAGCCGGCCUGAGAGGGUGUACGGCCACAUUGGGACUGAGAUACGGCCCAGACUCCUACGGGAGGCAGCAGUGGGGAAUAUUGCACAAUGGGCGGAAGCCUGAUGCACGACGCCGCGUGGGGGCAUGAAGGCCUUCGGGUUGUAAACUCCUUUCGACAGGGACGAAGCGUAAGUGACGGUACCUGUAUAAGAAGCACCGGCUAACUACGUGCCAGCACCCGGUAAUACGUAGGGUGCGAGCGUUGUCCGGAAUUACUGGGCGUAAAGAGCUCGUAGGUGGUUUGUCGCGUCGUCUGUGAAAUUCCGGGGCUUAACUCCGGGCGUGCAGGCGAUACGGGCUGACUUGAGUGCUGUAGGGGAGACUGGAAUUCCUGGUGUACGGUGAAAUGCGCAGAUAUCAGGAGGAACACCGAUGGCGAAGGCAGGUCUCUGGGCAGUAACUGACGCUGAGGAGCGAAAGCAUGGGUAGCGAACAGGAUUAGAUACCCUGGUAGUCCAUGCCGUAAACGGUGGGCCCUAGGUGUAGGGGGCUUCCACGUCUUCUGUGCCGUAGCUAACGCAUUAAGCGCCCCGCCUGGGGUAAUCGCCG
rnacentral:rRNA from 1 species